rnacentral:rRNA from 1 species
CCUACGGGAGGCAGCAGUGGGGAAUAUUGGGCAAUGGGCGCAAGCCUGACCCAGCAACGCCGCGUGAAGGAAGAAGGCUUUCGGGUUGUAAACUUCUUUUGUCAGGGACGAAGCAAGUGACGGUACCUGACGAAUAAGCCACGGCUAACUACGUGCCAGCAGCCGCGGUACUACGUAGGUGGCAAGCGUUAUCCGGAUUUACUGGGUGUAAAGGGCGUGUAGGCGGGGAGGCAAGUCAGAUGUGAAAACCACGGGCUCAACCUGUGGCCUGCAUUUGAAACUGUUUUUCUUGAGUGCUGGAGAGGCAAGCGGAAUUCCGGGUGUAGCGGUGAAAUGCGUAGAUAUACGGAGGAACACCAGUGGCGAAGGCGGAUUGCUGGACAGUAACUGACGCUGAGGCGCGAAAGCGUGGGGAGCAAACAGGAUUAGAUACCCGAGUAGUC